AAAUUUUCAUUGAAUAAGUAUCAACUAGAAAGAAAAAGAAGUUCGUUGUACAUAUGCAAAAUUUAGUUGUGCAUCCUCAAGACGAACAUAAAGUUGAUUGAGUCAACCACUUCAUUUAAAUUGUAUAGUUGUGGAAAGAUGGAUUAGCAAACAUCACUUCACUUUUCCGUGAUUGUUGCUAGGUCCCAUAUAGAGAAGGUGAAUCCAUUGCUGUGAUUGCUGAUGGUGAAGAUGCCAAUGGGGAAGCCUAACAAGCACAGAUUGUACUCCAUACCAUGCUAACAGUGCCCUUGCUUGCCAUUGGAACUGGAAUUACUCCAUUCAGUUAUUCCUAUGGAAAAUGUUCUUCAAGAAACACGACGAUUACAAGGUACACAAAACCAUUUGCUUCAAUUCAUUUUUUAUUUGAUUGGCUUCAGGACAUCUAAGGAAAUAAUCAGAACUAAAGGAGAACACUGCUUGGUUAUACACAUAAAAAUUUGAGUGCUAGAUAGAUGAACUGGUGGUAUAUUGAGUACUAUUUGAGUCAAAGAUGAAUAGUUAUUAAACACUUAAUAUAUCCAACAUUAGUUUAUUCAAACGUUUGAAUCACAAUCACUAGCUACUACUCUUUAAUAUUUG